rnacentral:tRNA from 1 species
GAGGGAAUGGCUCAGUGGCAGAGUGCAUGCUUAGCAUGCAUGAGGUCUUGGUUUCAAUCCCCAGUACUGCUA